GUCUCCUUGAAAGUAUUAAAUAUAAGGAGUCGGACCUGCCCAGUGACUAUAAUGUUAAACGGCCGCGGUACCCUAACCGUGCAAAGGUAGCAUAAUCAUUUGCCUUUUAAUUGGAGGCUUGUAUGAAUGGUUUGACGAGAGCUAAGCUGUCUCUUUUGAAAUACGCAGAAAUUAACUUUUAGGUGAAGAGGCCUGAAUAAAGCUGAGUGACAAGAAGACCCUGUUGAGCUUUAGUAUUACUAAGCUUGAUAUAAAAGGCUAGCAAGGCCUUGUAAUAUAAAAGUUUAUUAUAAUAAAAUUGUAUAGCUUAGUAAAUCUUUAGUUGGGGCGACUGAGGAACAAUUAAAGCUUCCUUGAGAUAAAAAAAUUUGGUUUUCAUUAAGUGGUGUAAUCUAACUAUGUGAUCCGGGGUAUGCUGAUUAAGGGAAAAAGUUACCACAGGGAUAACAGCGUAAUCUUUCUGGAGAGAUCUUAUCGAAAGAAGGGUUUGCCACCUCGAUGUUGGACUAAGAUAUCCUAAAGGUGUAGAAGCUUUUGAGGGUUGGUCUGUU
rnacentral:rRNA from 1 species